GCUUGACACAAAACGUAGUGGAGCACGACGUAUCGGGUUUUCUUUCGGCCUGCUCACCUUUUUCCGCCAUGAGCACUGACUGACACAUUUGCGAGCCGGUUACGUGAAAGAUGCGAGGCAGCAUGUCGUUAUCGUGGCAACCACAAGAAGACGGACUCCGGCAAAUCCUGCAGCUUCUGAAGGAAUCGCAGUCUCCGGACACGGCAACUCAGCGUGCUGUACAACAGAAACUUGAGGAGUUGAACAAGUACCCCGACUUCAACAACUACCUCAUAUUUGUCCUCACAAAGUUGAAAUCUGAAGAUGAGCCGACGCGGUCACUGAGCGGCCUGAUCUUGAAGAAUAACGUGAAGGCACACUUCGACAAGUUUCCCCGGGAGGUGGGCGACUUCAUCAAGGCGGAAUGCCUGGAGAGCGUGGGCGACCACUCGCCCCUGAUCCGUGCCACGGUGGGCAUCCUCAUCACCACCAUCGCCUCCAAGGGCGAGCUCACCCAGUGGCCCGAGCUGUUGCCGCGUCUCUGCCAGCUCCUCGACUCCGAGGACUACAAUGUCUGCGAGGGUUCCUUCGGAGCCCUGCAGAAGAUCUGCGAGGACUCGGCUGAGAUGCUGGACACAGAUGCACUAAACCGGCCCCUCAAUGUGCUGGUGCCCAAGUUCCUCCAGUUCUUCCGGCACAGCAGCCCCCGAAUCCGGUCGCACGCCAUUGCGUGCAUCAACCAGUUCAUCGUCAACCGCACACAGGCCCUGAUGCUCCACAUUGACUCGUUCAUUGAGAACUUGUUUCACUUGGCCUCGGACGAAGACUCCGAGGUGCGCAAGAACGUGUGCCGUGCUCUAGUCAUGCUUCUGGAGGUUCGCAUGGACCGCCUUAUCCCCCACAUACACAACAUCAUCGAGUACAUGCUGAUGCGCACACAAGACUCAGACGAAGGUGUUGCGCUGGAGGCUUGCGAGUUUUGGCUCUCGCUGGCGGAGCAGCCCAUCUGUCGAGAGGUGCUGGCACCGCACCUGUCCCGCCUUGUCCCCAUCCUCGUCCGGGGCAUGAAGUACUCGGAGAUUGACAUCAUCCUGCUCAAGGGAGAUGUUGAAGAGGACGAGAUGAUUCCUGAUCGGGAGGAGGACAUCCGACCCAGGUUUCAUAAGUCCAAAACGCACAGUCAAAAGCACAUGGACGACAACAUCGACGAGGACUCCGUGUCGGACGAUGGCCUCGACGAUGACAACACACUGUCUGACUGGAACCUGAGGAAGUGCUCGGCGGCGGCGCUGGACGUGCUGGCCAACGUGUUCCACGAGGAGCUGCUGGGGGUGCUGCUGCCCAUCCUGAAGGAGACGCUGUUCCACCAGGGCUGGGAGAUCAAGGAGUCGGCCAUCCUGGCCCUGGGCGCCAUCGCCGAGGGCUGCAUGGGGGGCAUGGUGCCCCACCUGCCCGAGCUGAUCCCCUACCUCAUCGGCUGCCUCGGUGACAAAAAGGCCCUGGUGCGCUCCAUCACCUGCUGGACGCUGAGCCGCUACUCCCACUGGGUGGUCAGCCAGCCGCACGACUGCUACCUGCAGCCACUCAUGACCGAGCUGCUGAAGCGGGUGCUAGAUGCCAACAAGCGGGUGCAAGAGGCGGCCUGCAGCGCAUUUGCCACCUUGGAAGAAGAAGCCUGCACCGAACUGGUCCCCUACCUGAGUUUCAUACUGGAGACGCUUGUCUUCGCCUUCAGCAAAUACCAGCACAAGAACCUUCUAAUACUGUACGAUGCCAUAGGAACCCUGGCAGAUUCUGUGGGCCAUCACCUCAACAAACCUGAAUACAUCAACCUCCUGAUGCCACCAUUAAUCGAGAAGUGGAAUGUCCUAAAGGACGACGACAAGGACCUGUUUCCUCUACUAGAGUGUCUGUCUAGCGUGGCCACUGCCCUCCAGUCCGGGUUCCUGCCCUACUGCGAACCUGUGUUCAGGAGGUGCGUUUCCCUGGUGGAGCAGACACUAAAUCAAAACAUGGCCAAUGCAGCCCACCCUGACCAGUUCGAGGCCCCGGACAAGGACUUUGUCAUUGUGGCGCUGGAUCUGCUAAGCGGACUGGCUGAAGGCCUGGAUGGUCACAUGGAGAGUCUGGUCAUGUCCUCCAACAUCAUGCAGCUUCUUUACCAGUGCAUGCAGGACUUGAUGCCCGAAGUACGGCAAAGUUCAUUUGCACUGCUCGGCGACCUCACCAAGGCUUGCUUCCAGCAUGUGAAUCCCUGUAUCUCUGACUUUCUUCCCAUUCUUGGUCAGAACCUGAACCCAGAGAUUAUAUCUGUGUGCAAUAAUGCAACGUGGGCCAUCGGCGAGAUCUCUGUCAAACUUGGUGAGUGCAGAGACAUGAAGCCUUACAUCCCGAUGGUGCUCACUCAGUUGGUGACCAUCAUCAACCGCCCCAACACGCCGAAAACCUUGCUGGAGAACACCGGUGUUCAUCGCUGCGGAACAUUAGGGACAACGAAGAGAAGGACUCUGCCUUCCGUGGCAUCUGCAGCAUGAUCAGUGUAAACCCGGGUGGAGUCGUGCACGACUUCAUUUUCUUCUGCGACGCCGUCGCAUCCUGGGUCAACCCCAAGGCAGACCUGAAGCAGACGUUCCACGAGAUACUCCACGGCUUCAAGAACCAGGUUGGUAGCGAGAACUGGCAGCGUUUCUCUGAACAGUUCCCGCCUGCCCUCAAGGAGAGGCUCACAACCAAUUAUGGUGUCUGAGAAAG
rnacentral:misc_RNA from 1 species